AAGAUGGUUGAAAAUGUAAUUGUGAGUUAUCAGCUUUAUAUUUUCUCUCCUGCAUCCUGCAAAGUAAGCUGGUAUGUGGAUAGGAAGAUUGUGGGCUUCUUGUAGACACCAGAAGGCCCCACAGCAAACUCUUGAGGGAACACUGAGGAGAUGUCACACCUCUCCUCUGCAGUGUGGAUGUGCAGCUUGAACAGCUGCAGCAACGCUCCCUUAUCACAGAUAGUCUUUUUAAUUGGGUUUAAUUAGAGCUUAUAUUGUGGCUUUAAUAACACACAGAAAAUAUUUAUCUACUGCUCAAACCAUUGUAAGGCUUAUCAAAAAACAAACAGCUACCAUUUUUGUCCACAAAUGCGUAGUCGCAUUGAAAUCCACAUUGAAAUCCACAUAGUUCUUGGUAGGAGCGGGCUUACAUUUUACUGAAAGACAUCUCCUGCAGCAGCAGAGGCAAUGCAACCCUGUCUGUCUCCGUGUAAGCGUUCUUAGUUUUUCCUCACAGCUGCUACAGGACGCUCAUAGGAAAGGUUUGGUUCUCUUUCCAUUUGAGCUGUUUGGGAUGUUGCCAUGGGCUGCAGAUGAAGCAAUUCGAAACGCUUCCAUCACAUGUAAUCUCCAGGUCAGAGCUUGCUUUGGGCCUACAACAGGUUCUGUCUUUGUUUCAGCUGUAUGCUCCCAUUCUGUACCCUAAAUGAGGUCUCUCUGCCCCAUAGUCAAGGCAUACCCCUAUGCUAAGUUACAUAAGCAGGGAACUGCAUAACAGGAAGCUGCACUCAGCUGUACAUUACACCUUCUGAGCACACCUGGAGCCUUUCAGUAUGACUGUGUCCCCACGAGGCAGCUCCAGCCACCUCACUUCCAAGGUGAGGCUCUUCCUUCUGAUUCCUGGCACAGAUAGACGCUGCUCUUCAGCUGAGAAAUCGCCACCUAUGGUGCAACCUCCCAGCAAAUACCAGAGUCUGACCGCGCAAAUGUUUUUCCUCAUCUCCAGAUUCUCUUCCAGAAUGGGCUUUUAGUUGUUUCCCAGAAGCAGAUCACAUUCACUUCUUUAAAAUGUGAACUGCAUUCUGAAUCACCCAAAGUAGGUAGUGCUCCCCACCUCUGAGCUGAAAUGUUAGAGCUAACAGAAUUUUGUAGGCAAUUCCAAUGAGGUAUGAAAUACCCAUAUGCUUGAUUAAGAACAUUAAGUUGAGUAGCAGCUUAAAUAUUGAGCUAGUUCAAAUAUUGAACAUCGAUGCCCUUUAGAUAACACAUGCCUGGAUAAAUAUUGUAAAUAGAACUAGCAGUAAGAAAUACCUUUUGGGGCAAGGAGAACAUCUUAUGAAUUUCAAAAAUGAAGAAAUAGGCAAAACAACCAGAGAUCGGAAUGAAUGUGCUGACUCAAAUCUGCAUAUUUCUAUGAAUAUUUACUUUUCCUACAGUCAUUCCAAGCAGGGACACUACGUACUUUUAUGAUCUCAGUGUUAUAGCAGAAGAAUGAUAGAGGAUCAAUCCUAUCUUUCACAGAAAAGCUAUUGAGCACAAUUCCCAUUUCAUCUUUCUGGUUUCAAUAAUUUCCUCUCUGGAUAAUCAUGGGCACUGUAACACUUAAUAUACAUAAUCCAUGUGAAAUUUGGAAAAUGUUCUUCAUAUUACGAAAGAGAUCAUUACUUCAAAGACCACCAGUAUUUGGACAGCUCCAAAAUACACUUUGAGAUGAAAAUGUUUCUCCUGUCCACCCAACCAUUAGCUUAUAGAGGUGCAGUAGGAUGCAAUAGGAUGUGGUCUGCUAUGGUCUAGAAAACCUGGAGUUGCAUUUCGCCUCUGCAGAUGGAACAGGUAUCUUCAUGCAGUUAGUGCUGGAGGAUGCCAGAAAGCUGGAGUUUCAAACAAUUUGAGAUAACAAUCAUGAAGUUCAAAAGCUUUGAAACAGAUCCAGCAUGUAGAUGAAAGAUAAGUUCAGCAAUUCCAAGUGUUUUCUUCUGUUUGCACAACAUUCACCUUUGAAUAUAUUUACUUAAUUUUGCUUUUCUGAACAGGUGCAUUUCCAGCUUGCUAUAAAACUAUGUCCAAACAAUCCGCACUGUCAAAACCUACCAGUUUCCUUGAGUCGAAUCCAAAAAGUACUGCCAAUCAAGAAAAAAGGUUCAGCUCAAGUCCUCAUUCUACACCUUUUAUUCCCUCAGGACUCUCACUACAGGACUUUUCAACCCAUAUGUAUUGUUUGCUUUGAAGAACAGCUCCCAUUUCUUUUAUGAUAAACCACCCUGCUCAGUGUGUUGCAAAAUCCAUCUGACAAUCUCCCAGUGGUACCAACAUCUACUAACAGGAGACAAGCUCUGUAUAUGCAAGUCGUCUGUCAAGCAGUUGCAUUAGAAAUUGUAUCUUGAAGUAAAGAGGAUGCUUUUGGAGAACUUCAUCUCCAGGAUAACCACUAAUAACAUGGGACAACAGAGAAGAAUUUGUUUGGGGCUGUUCUCAUUAUCAAGAACUUUUCAGUACAGUUUGAAUGAUUUUUGCUUUCCAUUCUAUUAAUACUACUAUGCUCACUGAAUGUAUUCAACUUUCUCCUUUCCUAUGUAACCACUGAAAGAGUAAGCAUAUCCUGACAGCAAUGCUUAUGUAAUAAUUAGGUAUAACUGUUUAUCAAAUGAGUGCAAAGAUAACUUUUUGCAUCAGCUUCUGUGUUGCUGAUUGAAAGAAGUUUUCUGUUCAACACUUAGAUGGCUAUUUCUAGAACAUACAGCUAUGAUCAAACCAAAGUGAAUAGCUUCAAAAUAUAAUGCACAGAUGACUCCAAUACAGUGCUCCAACCAGAAUUUUAUAUAUAUAUAUAUAUAUAUUGUAAAUACUAGCAGUUAACAGAAAUCAAGUGGUGAUAACAAGCUCAGACAUCAGGCGAGUUUUCAUGUCAAAAGAUGCCACACAGUGAUGUCAUGCUGCAUCACCAAGAUUAAAAGAAAAAUAGGUGGGAGAUGUAUCUUAAGGUUAACAUCUCAAAAGAAGCAUUGCUGUUUUGUGAGCUGAGCAGUGAUACGUUCCUAGAAGAAUUCAGUAGAAUGAACUUGGGAACCAAGCAGUGGUAUAAAUCCUUACUUUUGUUGGAGCAGAGGAGACAGAUGAAGCAAUGAGUCUUUCAUCACCACACCAUCAGAGAGACUGAUGCUGCUGUUAAAGUAUGUGAAUCUGCUUCAAUUUUUGAAGCUCACAAAAGAGAUUUGGGGAACAAUAUAUCUUUAAAACCUGGAAUGAUGAAGAACAGAGACUGAAAUGUGAAGCAUUAUUCUAAUGAACAUGGGUGACAGAAUACAGCUUACCAUGGACUAUGCGGUAUUUCUGCUUUUCUAUAUCAAGUUUUCUAUGUCCCCACUUUUCUUAGAAGAUAACUUUUAAGGCCUUUUUACAGCAUCUCCAAAUCAAUAGAUGCCGCUCACGUCAAAUAAUUAAAUUGCUUAAUUCUAUCUGAGCAUUUGAUAUGUUAAAGACAUCUUAUUAUUGAUCUUACAGUUUCCCACAUUCCAUAACUCUACAAUAAAUUCACUUACCCAUUUGGUACCUCACUAGUAUUCAUAUUAUUUUUCUCUUACGCUCUAAUUGCCCAUGCAUAAUGUGUUUUCCCUCCUGUUAUCUAAACAAUAUUGUAAGAACGGCUCUUAGAAAAUGAAAAUUAUGCUUAUGAACUAUAAUAAGGUAUACUCUGUGAUACUGUGAAGUUAUCUAAAUGUAUUUCUUCAGAGAUAGUAGUUAAACCACAAACUCUUUGCGUAAACUCCCUUAGGGUUCAAGUGAUCUUCAUUAAGACAGCCUAUUUUACUUCCACAGUGGGCUAAAUUCAAUUGAAUUAAUGUCACUUUUAAUUCUGAAGUAAAACAUACAGAGGCAUUUUUAUAUAUCUUCAUCUACUUAAAUUUAAUAGGUGUAAUUAACUGGAGAUAUCUGUAAAAUUUCCUUUUUUUUAGGUAUUUUUUAAAUGACUUAUUUUUGUUUUAAUUUCAUCCUGCAGGAAGUGAAGCAAUCUCAAUACAGAGUAAGAACAAACAUUAGCAUAUUGCUGAUCACACUUAAGUUACAGUAAGUAGGCAAAUAAUAAAGACUCAAAUACAUAGAAAAUGUUUUAAUAUGGCUUGUUAAUCAACUAUGCAUUUGAAUAGCUUUGGCUACACAAGUAGUAUUUCUAGUCAUCUUUGUGACAAGUCUGGAGCUACAUCAGACAUCUAUACCAUCAAUUUUCAUUGAAGUUGCAGCCUUUCUGUAAUUCACAUACAGUAAACCAAAUCUUGCUAACCUACUAAAUAGCUGCACCUUUUGUUUUUGCGUUGUUGUAUAUUGUCUCUAGUUUUUAGUACACAAGCAAGUGUUCAGAGGUGCAGUGUAUCAAGAUAAUACAAAGUAUCAUGCUUUUCUUGACUACGAAAUCUAUCAUGGGUGCAAAAUCUUCUUGAACGCCUGUGUAGAAAUGUGAAGGACUUCACAUGUUUCCUUAUCCACACUGAGAGAAGUGAACCCAAUGGCAGCAGUGUACACAAAAGGACUGAGUCAGUUACAGAGGCCAAUCAGUAAGAAGUUUCCUUAACUGCUGCUAGUAAUUCACUCCAAAUCAUAAACUGGCAGGCAGUGUCUUCUACAAAGAAAGAAGGAUCUGCGGGACAAUAAUAAGCAACUGAAAAGGUGCUGCUUGACUGAUAGAGAGAGAAUAUGCCCCUUCUCCCAAAUUUCUCCCAAAUGAUUCUAUGAGAUAAAGGACAAAAACAGAGCAGCUGGACUUACCAUUCAGUAAGUCUGUAGUUUGCCUCUGUUUAAAAAUAAAUAAAUAAAUGCCUUCUCUGUGGGCCAUUGAUCACAAGGGAGCACCCAGCACCUCCUAUGAAUGAAUACACAGCCACUAUCUGUGGGAUAAUAGGCAAAUACUAACUUGUCAAGGUGUGAAAGCGUAACUACAAUGUAUCUGUUUUUUAAACUGUGUUUAAAAUACUGGGGUAAAUCACUGCCUUGCAACUUCGUGACUCCUGAGAGGUUUGUGGCAAAGUAUGUGUAGCUGAAAAUCAGUAUGAAAAUACACAAACACUUUGCUUCUGCAUGUAAGCAUUUUCCCUGACCAGGGGCUGUUUUGGGAAAUACCUAAUGCCAAGAAGGGAGGGUGACAGUGGUGGCUGCUGGUGUAACUGUCCUGCUUCUUCCUUUCGGUGUGCCUCUUCGCAGUGAAUGAACUUCAGUUAAAAAGCCCUCCUUGAACUACAAUAUCUUUCAUAAUUGCAACAGCCGCAGGCAGACAGCAUGCUGCUUUCCUGAGGCUCUGGAUUCCUUCUGGACUCGCAGUCAAGGUGCAUUGAGGAGCACUUCUCAGGACAUCUGACAGCAAGUUGUUGGCUGGGUUGUUCUGGUUUCAUUGUGAAUUCAGGUGCUGGCAACCUCAGAUAUUGUAGAAACACAGUGUAAGACCUUUCUUCUGCUCCUCUCUGUGAGGACACGUCCUUAAAUAGGACAGAAUUGGGCACCAGUGGAAUUUGUCUUGCAAAAAAUGUACGUUGUCACUCUGUACAACUACUGCAUGGAGAGGGGGAAUUGCUGUACUUCUGCUUUCAUCCUUUCCCUUACCAUAUCUACAUGACAUAACUGAUAUUUUCUUGGCACAUCUGAAAUUAUGCUGCAGUUUCUGGGUCAGGAGCUGUAAAACUUGGAAAGUAG
ensembl:lncRNA